rnacentral:rRNA from 1 species
ACUUGUACCGACUGGAUGAGCAGCGAACGGGUGAGUAACGCGUGGGGAAUCUGCCUUUGAGCGGGGGACAACAUUUGGAAACGAAUGCUAAUACCGCAUAAAAACUUUAAACACAAGUUUUAAGUUUGAAAGAUGCAAUUGCAUCACUCAAAGAUGAUCCCGCGUUGUAUUAGCUAGUUGGUGAGGUAAAGGCUCACCAAGGCGAUGAUACAUAGCCGACCUGAGAGGGUGAUCGGCCACAUUGGGACUGAGACACGGCCCAAACUCCUACGGGAGGCAGCAGUAGGGAAUCUUCGGCAAUGGACGAAAGUCUGACCGAGCAACGCCGCGUGAGUGAAGAAGGUUUUCGGAUCGUAAAACUCUGUUGGUAGAGAAGAACGUUGGUGAGAGUGGAAAGCUCAUCAAGUGACGGUAACUACCCAGAAAGGGACGGCUAACUACGUGCCAGCAGCCGCGGUAAUACGUAGGUCCCGAGCGUUGUCCGGAUUUAUUGGGCGUAAAGCGAGCGCAGGUGGUUUAUUAAGUCUGGUGUAAAAGGCAGUGGCUCAACCAUUGUAUGCAUUGGAAACUGGUAGACUUGAGUGCAGGAGAGGAGAGUGGAAUUCCAUGGGUAGGCCGGU